CAACACAGCCCCCUGAUUAGGUACCCGCGUCUAUUCUCCCUCUGUUAUUGACGAAUUUCACCCGCUCAGCCGAUUAGGUUCACAGUCACCCCAACUUGGUCACGAGUUGGGUGACUCAGAUCCACAUCUCAGGGUGGAAAUCCUGAUCUAAAUCCAUGGCUGUGAUCAGAUUGCCUCAAGUAAUGUCAGGCAUAUCGAGCCGAUCUCAGACAUGCCGCACCCAGCUAGUAGAGAGGGUCGUCUGGGUUGAGUCGCUACUGAGUCAGUGACUCAGGAACGUUUCAGGCAUAGAAAUCCUGACUCAGUUGGGCCUGGGAAGCAGCUCGCCCUAGUUAACCUGAAGCCCAGUUAAGGGUGAUCCAAACUUGCCCAAUUGGGGGCUAACCCGACCAGUUUCCCAACUGUGUCAACUCCACACUCAGUAACGGGUCGACUCGGCUAGUUUCCCGACUGAGUCAAGCUGACUCCAAUCAUCUGUGGAUGAUUUGGGAAGCAUUGAAUCCAAUGGGUCAUUAAUCUAACCCUGUAGUUAGUAGAUCUCUUAAAACUAACUCAUCUAGUUGUUAGUUGAAAAUCCCAACCGAGUCAACUCAGUCGCGACUCACUAGUGUCUUAUAACAAUUUCUCCAGGUACAACCAGCAACUGUUUACCUUAGAAGACACUCCUUCCUUCAAUCUGUCCAGUUAAGAUCUUUACAUCCACCUCAUAAGGACAUCUCAAAACAAGAGGAACUUUCAAUCUAGUUGCACCAAAUAGAUGCAGGGUUGAUGCCAAGUGGAGACCCCUAUGGUGGGACCUUAGAGAUGACUGAGGAGUUCGAUGAGGAGGACCUUUAUGCCGAUGUAGAUGAGCCGUUGGAGCUCAAUUGAUAUUUUAGGAUUUACAUACUUUCGUACUUCAGACUUUGUGUUUUGCUUGAAUUGUAAUAAUAAUUCCCUACUGUGGGAUUUCAUUUUUCUUUCCUUUAA